AGUUUUAGUAAUUACAAUAUUUACUGCAAUUUUCCCUCUUCCCGCAUGAUUCCGGAGAAUUGUUUUUGCCCAACAAUUAAUACAUUUCUCUGGCCUCAAUUUACACCCUUCUUCUACCCCAAUAGUUCAAUUCAUUUCCAUUACUCUCUCUCUCUCUCUCUCUCUCUCUCUACCUGUACCCUCCACAAUUAAAUUAAGCUUUAAAGAUCACCCAUCGCUCUCCCUUCAUUUCCCUUAUAUAUAUAAUGGCGCUUGGAGGUCCAUACCCACUUCACAAAGGCCAGGUUGAUGGUGCCGGAGCUAGUCUUGAUCGGUUCAUAACUAGCCGGUCUCCGUCCAUCCCUUCUCCUCUCUCUUAUAAUCCUCUCCAUAUCAGUCUAUACUCACCCUCUGCGGAAAUUGACGUUGGCACAAUAGUCGUUUCGACCUCGAGGCAGGGUGACAUAUAUUUGCACGAAGUACACGAAAAUGAGUCGGCGAAGUGGAAGCAGUCCAAAACUAGAAUUGAAGCUGAACCUCUCACCACCUAGACCCAACCCACGAGUGGAGUCGCCGAGCCGCUCGGCCACAGUGUCACCGACGUCACCACCAAGCUCGUGUGUGUCAAUGGAGCUCAACCAGGAUGACUCUCUCCGGUACUCCAACAGCCCUGAGGCCACGUCUAUGGUGCUGGUGGGGUGUCCACGCUGCCUCAUGUACGUGAUGCUCUCCGAGGACGACCCCAAAUGCCCCAAAUGCAAGAGCACCGUUUUGCUGGACUUUCUUCAGGACACCACCAGCCCCAACAUAAAGACAAGAAAGAGUUAAGAGUAGGCCCCCCUCUCUUAUUUUCCCUAUCGGAGCUAGGACUUAUUUAAGCGUUUCUGCUUUUAUAUCUCUCUUUUGGUCUCUGUUCUUUUUUAAUAUGUCUCUCGAAGAGGCAGCGCUAUUUGCGCUCCAUUUUUAGCUCCAUCCCAUAGUUUUGAGGAAGGUUAUUCCUGGUGGAUGGGAUCCAGAGCCCCUGCGGAAAGGUGGAGCGCGAAUAGCACUACCUUUAUUUAUCUUUUUACUUUGCAAAUCAUAGAAAAUAGGAAAUGGGCAAUCUUUUUUGGGGUUGGGGGGGAGCAUCUGGUUGGGAGGGGAGAGGUGGGCUAGGGUCUGUGUUAGGACUGUCUCUGUUUCUUUCUGGGUUCAGCUUUCUUCCCUCUUUAGCAGAGGACGAUGUAAACGGGUUUAACUAUGAGGGUCCAGAAUCUUCUUUAUCAAAAUUUUAGGUAAUAUUUGCUUUUGCCUUAC